GCAUUGGUGGUUUAGUGGUAUAAUGGUCCGUUGCCAUGAGUCAUGAUCGGACCGACCCGGGUUCGAUUCCCGGCCGAUGCA